rnacentral:rRNA from 1 species
UCCGUAGGCGGGCAAUUAAGUCAGAGGUGAAAUCCCACAGCUCAACUGUGGAACUGCCUUUGAUACUGGUUGUCUUGAGUUACAGUGAAGUAGAUAGAAUAUGUAGUGUAGCGGUGAAAUGCAUAGAUAUUACAUAGAAUUCCGAUUGCGAAGGCAGUCUACUAACUGUAUACUGACGCUAAUGGACGAAAGCGUGGGGAGCGAACAGGAUUAGAUACCCUGGUAGUCC